UACGUAGGGGGCUAGCGUUGUCCGGAAUCAUUGGGCGUAAAGCGCGUGUAGGCGGCCAGGUAGGUCCGUUGUGAAAACUCGAGGCUCAACCUCGAGACGUCGGCGGAAACCCUCUGGCUAGAGUCCGGAAGAGGAGAGUGGAAUUCCUGGUGUAGCGGUGAAAUGCGCAGAUAUCAGGAAGAACACCCGUGGCGAAGGCGGCUCUCUGGGACGGUACUGACGCUGAGACGCGAAAGCGUGGGGAGCAAACAGG
rnacentral:rRNA from 1 species